rnacentral:rRNA from 1 species
GAUGAACGCUAGCGGCAGGCUUAAUACAUGCAAGUCGAACGGCAGCACAGCAGAGCUUGCUCUGUGGGUGGCGAGUGGCGGACGGGUGAGGAAUACGCGGGAAUCUGCCCAGUCGUGGGGGAUAACGUAGGGAAACUUACGCUAAUACCGCAUGCGCCCUUCGGGGGAAAGCCGGGGACCUUCGGGCCUGGCGCGAUUGGAUGAGCCCACGUCGGAUUAGCUAGUUGGCGGGGUAAAGGCCCACCAAGGCGACGAUCCGUAGCUGGUCUGAGAGGAUGAUCAGCCGCACUGGAACUGAGACACGGUCCAGACUCCUACGGGAGGCAGCAGUAGGGAAUAUUGGACAAUGGGCGCAAGCCUGAUCCAGCCAUGCCGCAUGAGUGAAGAAGGCCCUCGGGUUGUAAAGCUCUUUUGUCCGGAAAGAAAAGCGCCGGGUUAAUACCCUGGUGUCCUGACGGUACCGGAAGAAUAAGCACCGGCUAACUUCGUGCCAGCCGCCGCCGUAACAC